GGCUAGACACAUAAUUAUAUGAAUGUUGUUAGUUUCGAAAUCUUAUCGUGAUCAUUUGUAUGAAUAGAUUGCUUGAGUUGGAAGUUCAACGAAAAUUAAAGGCUCAAGUCAUGGAGUGAGUUUUCGAUAAAUUGAGGCAAGUGGAUUUCUAAAUUCUUGUUAAGUGUAUGAAAUGCGUGUAUGUCCUUGUGGUAUAUGUUGGGAGUAACGGGAUUGGUGAUGGGUUGACUUGUCCACAUUGAUUUAUUUUAAUAAUGAAAAGAAUGGGGAUAACAAAAGACAAUGUGAUUAAUUGUUUAUGUCUGUUGUGUUGAGAAAGGGUUGAAGGCUUGUUGAAUCAUUGUUGAUGUAACUUCAUGUUUGUGUGGUUGUGAACUGUGUGAUGUUAUGAAAAUGGUCAUCUCCUCAUUAUAUGUGUGAACUUGUCAUCUGCAUUAUUCUGAGGCAUUUGUUGUGACAAGUGUUAUGUGCAUUAAGAAAGAAUGGGUACUUAAGAGGAUGUACCAUUUCGAGGGACGUAUCGCGCGCCGCGAUGGAUACUAUAUUUCGAGGGACAUAUCGUGCGCCGCGAUGGUUACUAUUAUCGAGGGUCGUGUCGUGCGCCGCGACAGAUGCAUGGACAGAUAUGUCCCCAUGGGUCCCGGACUAAGAGACAGCGGGUGUGUAUCACUAGGUCAGACAUGCAUCAUUAUACUUGACAUUGCAUUCCAUUGCAUUGCACAUACUUAUCAUUAGUGAACUUAAUAUCGUAUUUUACCGAUCUUCUGAUUGCCUUUCUGCGGAACUUGUGAUUGAUUAAUAUUGAGCUUCUUAUUGCGGAUAUGUAAUUUGUUGAAGUAUUCUUGUUGAGGAUAUGUAAUUUGUUGAAGUGUUGUUGUUGAGGAUAUGUAAUUUGUCUAAGUGUUGUUAUUGAGCUACGUGCUAUGUAAACUGUGAGCUGUUAGGUUUGGUUGAUUUUAAUGCAGGUUGUAGUUGUGGAGGUUUUGUUGGGGGUGUUAGGAGUACUCGUAUUUUUAUCCUCUUAGCUUGUGUUUAGACGUUUUACUUGCUGAGUACCGUGUGGUUUGAUACUCACCCCUUGCUUCUACAAAUUUUUGUAGGUUACUAGCCCGGACUUUUAUGAUAUAUUCUCUUCUUUUCCGAGGCUUCCUGGAGAUUUUGUGAGAUUGCUUGAGUUGGAAGUUCAACAAAAAUUAAAGGCUCAAGUCAUGGAGUGAGUUUUCGAUAAAUUGAGGCAAGUGGAUUUCUAAACUCUUGUUAAGUGUAUCAAAUGCGUGUAUGUCCUUGUGGUAUAUGUUGGGAGUAACGGGAUUGGUGAUGGGUUGACUUGUCCAUAUUGAUUUAUUUUAAUGAUAAAAAGAAUGGGGAUAACAAAAGGUAAUGUGAUUACUUGUUUAUGUCUGUUGUGUUGAGAAAGGGUUGAAGGCUUGUUGAAUCAUUGUUGAUGUAACUUCAUGUUUGUGUGGUUGUGAACUGUGCGAUGUUAUGAAAAUGGUCAUCUCCUUAUUAUAUGUGUGAACUUGUCAUCUGCAUUAUUCUGAGGCAUUUGUUGUGACAAGUGUUAUGUGCAUUAAGAAAGAAUGGGUACUUAAGAGGAUGUACCAUUUCGAGGGACGUAUCGCGCGCCGCGAUGGAUACUAUAUUUCGAGGGACGUAUCGCGCGCCGCGAUGGUUACUUUUAUCGAGCAUCGUAUCGUGCGCCGCGACAGAUGCAUGGACAGAUAUGUCCCCCAUGGGUCCCGAACUGAGAGACAGCGGGUGUGUAUCACUAGGUCAGACAUGCAUCAUUAUACUUGACAUUGCAUUCCAUUGCAUUGCACAUACUUCUCAUUAGUGAACUUGAUAUCGUAUUUUGCUGAUCUUCUGAUUGCCUUUCUGCGGAACUUGUGAUUGAUUAAUAUUGAGCUUCUUAUUGCGGAUAUGAAAUUUGUUGAAGUAUUCUUGUUGAGGAUAUGUAAUUUGUUGAAGUGUUGUUGUUGAGGAUAUGUAAUUUGUCUAAGUGUUGUUGUUGAGCUACGUGCUAUGUAAACUGUGAGCUGUUAGGUUGGGUUGAUUUUAAUGCAGGUUGUAGUUGUGGAGGUUUUGUUGGGGGUGGUAGGAGUACCCGUAUUUUAUCCCCUUAGCUUGUGUUUAGACGUUUUACUUGCUGAGUACCGUGUGGUUUGGUACUCACCCCUUGCUUCUACAAAUUUUUGUAGGUUACUAGCCCGGACUUUUAUGAUAUAUUCUCUUCUUUUUCCGAGGCUUCCUGGAGAUUUUGUGAGGUAGUUGUUGGUCAUCUCAGCAUCCCUCCUUACUCUUGUUUAUGAUUUUGUUCUACUCUAGAAACAAUAUCAUAAGAGACUUAUAUUUUCUUUUGAUCCGAUUGUAAUACUUUAGAGGCUUGUACACGUGACAACCAGGUUUUGGGGUAUAAUGUAAGUUGAUAGUAAAUUUUCCGCAUUUUUAUUGUAAUAGUUGAGUUUUAGGCUUACUUGUCUUGGUGGGAUAAGACGAGUGUCAUCACGUCCAUUUGUGGGUCGUGACAAAAUCAUAAUAUAUGUACACUGUUAUAAAAUACUGCCUCCGUUUUAAAAAGAAUAACCUCCUUUCCUUUUUAGUCCACUUUAAAAUAACUUUUUUUUUGUAACAUUUUAAAAUAAGUUUUUCACGUGGCAUGUUUAAGGCCACAAGAUCAAAGGACAAUUUUGUACAUUUAACAUAACUUUAAUUUAGGACCAUAAGAUACAAGAAUCUUCUUUAUACUCUUAAACUCCGUGCCAAGACUAAUCAGGUCAUUCUUUGUGAAACAGAGGGAGUAACUAGCAGAACAAACUAAAAUUAAUUAUAAGAAGAAUAAAUAAAGAGAGCAUAAUAUACAUUAAAUUUUUCUUACCUCUUGCUUUGUGAAUGAAAACAAUAAUUAUUUAUAGCUAAAUGGGAAAUAUAUAAACUAACAUUUUGACCAUUGAGAAGUUAUCUACUCGGCCAAGUGAUGACACCUCAAAAGUUGGUGGCUCCACAUGGCAUCAUUUUAGUAUGGUGAGUGAUGACACUUAAAGGGUGACCCACAUGACAUCCAUUUAGUUUUACAAUACUCCAAUUUGGAUGUCCAUGUUAAAGAAAAGUUGAAAAAACAAGAAUUUACAUAGAUAUUCAAAAUACUCAUUGUUUGCUGCUUCACUAAAAACCUUUGUAGAAAAACCAAGUGGGACGAAACCUAGAUUAAAGGAAAAAAGAGUGCAAUAUGUAUUUAACUCCCCCCGAUUAAGAUUACGAUUCAGAUGCUUAAGUCUGCACAUUUCAAUAUUUUGCACCAUCUUCUCGAGAGUUGAGACUGAUAAAACUUUGAUGAAUAAAUCUGCUGGAUUAUCACUCGAACAAAUUUGUUGUAUAUCAAUAUCAUCAUUUUUCUGAACUUUCUAAAACAUACAAGAAUGAAUAGAAAAAAUCAUAGAACAAAAAAUUUCAAAAAUGGAAAAACGAUUUGAAUUAACAGUCAGUUACGUUUUAGAGAGCAAAUGUUGUCAUUUUUUCUCCUUUUUUCUUUCGAGCAUUUUUUUGCCCUCUAUUCUUAAGAAUUCCAGAAAAAAGAAUUGCAAAAAAUAAUUUUGUCUUCCGAAUAAUUCAAUUGAUAAUCUUCACAAGUUCACCAAGUUGAAUUCGGC
rnacentral:lncRNA from 1 species